GACGAACGCUGGCGGCGUGCUUAACACAUGCAAGUCGAACGGAAAGGCCCUGCUUUUGUGGGGUGCUCGAGUGGCGAACGGGUGAGUAACACGUGAGUAACCUGCCCUUGACUUUGGGAUAACUUCAGGAAACUGGGGCUAAUACCGGAUAGGAGCUCCUGCUGCAUGGUGGGGGUUGGAAAGUUUCGGCGGUUGGGGAUGGACUCGCGGCUUAUCAGCUUGUUGGUGGGGUAGUGGCUUACCAAGGCUUUGACGGGUAGCCGGCCUGAGAGGGUGACCGGCCACAUUGGGACUGAGAUACGGCCCAGACUCCUACGGGAGGCAGCAGUGGGGAAUAUUGCACAAUGGGCGGAAGCCUGAUGCAGCAACGCCGCGUGUGGGAUGACGGCCUUCGGGUUGUAAGCCGCUUUCGCCUGUGACGAAGCGUGAGUGACGGUAAUGGGUAAAGAAGCACCGGCUAACUACGUG
rnacentral:rRNA from 1 species